CCUACGGGAGGCAGCAGUGGGGAAUAUUGCACAAUGGGGGAAACCCUGAUGCAGCGACGCCGCGUGAGUGAAGAAGUAAUUCGUUAUGUAAAGCUCUAUCAGCAGGGAAGAAAAUGACGGUACCUGAGUCAGAAGCCCCGGCUAAUUACGUUCCAGCAGCCGCGGUAAUACGUAGGGGGCAAGCGUUAUCCGGAUUUACUGGGCGUAAAGGGAGCGUAGACGGCAGUGCAAGUCUGGAGUGAAAGUCGGGGGCUCAACCCUCGGACUGCUAUGGAAACUGGAAGGCUGGAGUUCAGGAGAGGUAAGUGGAAUUCGUAGUGUAGCGGUGAAAUGCGUAGAUAUUAGGAGGAACACCAGUGGCGAAGGCGGCUUACUGGACUGUAACUGACGUUGAGGCUCGAAAGUGUGGGGAGCAAACAGGAUUAGAUACCCGUGUAGUC
rnacentral:rRNA from 1 species